UACGAAGGGUGCAAACGUUGCUCGGAAUUAUUGGGCGUAAAGCGCACGUAGGCGGCUUGGCAAGUCGGAUGUGAAAUCCCUCGGCUCAACCAAGGAAGUGCAUCCGAAACUGCCGAGCUUGAGUACUUAAGAGGAUCGCGGAAUUCCCGGUGUAGAGGUGAAAUUCGUAGAUAUCGGGAGGAACACCAGUGGCGAAGGCGGGCUUCUGGCUAAUUACUGACGCUGAGGUGCGAAAGCUAGGGGAGCGAGCGGG
rnacentral:rRNA from 1 species